rnacentral:rRNA from 1 species
GGCUCAGGAUGAACGCUAGCUACAGGCUUAACACAUGCAAGUCAGGGGCAGCAUGAGCUCAGUUAUUCUGGGUUUGAUGGCGACCGGCGCACGGGGUGAGUAACGCGUAUCCAACCUGCCCUUUACGCGGGGAUAGCCUUCUGAAAGGAAGUUUAAUACCCGAUGAAUUCGUUUAGUCGCAUGGCUUGAUGAAGAAAGAUUUAUCAGUAAAGGAUGGGGAUGCGUCUGAUUAGCUUGUUGGCGGGGUAACGGCCCACCAAGGCGACGAUCAGUAGGGGUUCUGAGAGGAAGGUCCCCCACAUUGGAACUGAGACACGGUCCAAACUCCUACGGGAGGCAGCAGUGAGGAAUAUUGGUCAAUGGACGAGAGUCUGAACCAGCCAAGUAGCGUGCAGGAUGACGGCCCUAUGGGUUGUAAACUGCUUUUAUAAGGGAAUAAAGUGAGUCUCGUGAGACUUUUUGCAUGUACCUUAUGAAUAAGGACCGGCUAAUUCCGUG